rnacentral:rRNA from 1 species
UCCUACGGGAGGCAGCAGUGGGGAAUAUUGCACAAUGGGCGCAAGCCUGAUGCAGCAACGCCGCGUGAGGGACGAAGGCCUUCGGGUUGUAAACCUCUUUUAGUAGGGAAGAAGCGACUGGGUUUUCCUGGGAGUGACGGUACCUGCAGAAAAAGCACCGGCUAACUACGUGCCAGCAGCCGCGGUAAUACGUAGGGUGCAAGCGUUGUCCGGAAUUAUUGGGCGUAAAGAGCUCGUAGGCGGUUUGUCGCGUCUGCUGUGAAAACCCGAGGCUCAACCUCGGGCCUGCAGUGGGUACGGGCAGACUAGAGUGCGGUAGGGGAGAUUGGAAUUCCUGGUGUAGCGGUGGAAUGCGCAGAUAUCAGGAGGAACACCAAUGGCGAAGGCAGAUCUCUGGGCCGUAACUGACGCUGAGGAGCGAAAGCAUGGGGAGCGAACAGGAUUAGAUACCCUGGUAGUCCAUGCCGUAAACGUUGGGAACUAGAUGUGGGGACCAUUCCACGGUCUCCGUGUCGCAGCUAACGCAUUAAGUUCCCCGCCUGGGGAGUACGGCCGCAAGGCUAAAACUCAAAGGAAUUGACGGGGCCCGCACAAGCGGCGGAGCAUGCGGAUUAAUUCGAUGCAACGCGAAGAACCUUACCAAGGCUUGACAUAUACCGGAAACGGCUGGAAACAGUCGCCCCGCAAGGUCGGUAUACAGGUGGUGCAUGGUUGUCGUCAGCUCGUGUCGUGAGAUGUUGGGUUAAGUCCCGCAACGAGCGCAACCCUCGUCCUAUGUUGCCAGCACGUAAUGGUGGGAACUCAUGGGAUACUGUUGGGGUCAACUCGGAGGAAGGUGGGGAUGACGUCAAAUCAUCAUGCCCCUUAUGUCUUGGGCUUCACGCAUGCUACAAUGGCCGGUACAAAGGGCUGCGAUACCGCAAGGUGGAGCGAAUCCCAAAAAGCCGGUCUCAGUUCGGAUUGAGGUCUGCAACUCGACCUCAUGAAGUCGGAGUCGCUAGUAAUCGCAGAUCAGCAACGCUGCGGUGAAUACGUUCCCGGGCCUUGUACACACCGCC